rnacentral:lncRNA from 1 species
UUAAAUUGAUGCAAAAGAAUUGGAAUAUCAACAACAAUCCAAUUGUUGCAUGUCUUUCCAUGCGUUACAAAGUUGGUGCAGUCUUCCUCUUCGCUAUCCUCUAGCACAUCAGCUAAGUGUUGUUCAUUGCCAUGAAUGAACCCUCUGCUACGGAAGUUGAGUUUCAUAUCUUCAGAUCUUGCAAUUGAUGAGCCUUUCUGGAACCCCAAACCCGUUCUGCCUUUGUUGUCGGAGAC